GUGAGGAAUAUUGCGCAAUGGAGGCAACUCUGACGCAGCCAUGCCGCGUGCAGGAAGAAGGCGCUACGCGUUGUAAACUGCUUUUAACCGGGAAGAAACCCCAGGACGUGUCCUGGGUUGACGGUACCGGAGGAAUAAGCACCGGCUAACUUCGUGCCAGCAGCCGCGGUAAUACGAAGGGUGCAAGCGUUAUCCGGAUUCAUUGGGUUUAAAGGGUGCGUAGGCGGAGCGUUAAGUCAGUGGUGAAAUCCUGCAGCUUAACUGUAGACUUGCCAUUGAUACUGGCGCUCUUGAGUGCGCUUGAAGUGGGCGGAAUGUGCCGUGUAGCGGUGAAAUGCUUAGAUAUGGCACAGAACACCAAUUGCGAAGGCAGCUCACUAAGGCGAUACUGACGCUGAGGCACGAAAGCGUGGGGAUCGAACAGGAUUAGAAACCAUGGUAGUCC
rnacentral:rRNA from 1 species